rnacentral:rRNA from 1 species
UACGUAGGGGGCGAGCGUUGUCCGGAUUUAUUGGGCGUAAAGAGCUCGUAGGCGGCUCGGUAAGUCGGAUGUGAAACCUCCAGGCUCAACCUGGAGACGCCAUCUGAUACUGCCGUGGCUUGAGUCCGGUAGAGGAGCAGGGAAUUCCUGGUGUAGCGGUGAAAUGCGCAGAUAUCAGGAGGAACACCGGUGGCGAAGGCGGGUCUCUGGGCCGUAACUGACGCUGAGGAGCGAAAGCGUGGGGAGCGAACAGG